rnacentral:rRNA from 1 species
UCUUCACGAAAAGGAGGGGGAAAUCCAAGACCCAUACAGUAUAUGCAAGCAUUCCAAGAGGCUAUUGAUGACUGUGAACUGCAUGAUAUUGGGUAUACUGGAGAACCGUUUACAUGGUUCAGAGGCAGAAUAAGGGAGAGAUUGGAUAGAGAAUUGGCAAAUGAUGGUUGGACUGCAAUGUUUCCUAAUGCUUUGAUCCAGAACAUGGAAUAUAAUCAUUCGGAUCAUAGGCACUGUGCUUAG